AACGAACGCUGGCGGCAUGCCUAACACAUGCCAGUCGAACGAGACCUUCGGGUCUAGUGGCGCACGGGUGCGUAACGCGUGGGAACCUGCCCUUAGGUUCGGAAUAACUCUCCGAAAGGGGUGCUAAUACCGGAUAAUGUCUUCGGACCAAAGAUUUAUCGCCUUUGGAUGGGCCCGCGUUGGAUUAGCUAGUUGGUAGGGUAAAAGCCUACCAAGGCGACGAUCCAUAGCUGGUCUGAGAGGAUGAUCAGCCACACUGGGACUGAGACACGGCCCAGACUCCUACGGGAGGCAGCAGUGGGGAAUAUUGGACAAUGGGCGAAAGCCUGAUCCAGCAAUGCCGCGUGAGUGAUGAAGGCCUUAGGGUUGUAAAGCUCUUUUACCCGGGAUGAUAAUGACAGUACCGGGAGAAUAAGCUCCGGCUAACUCCGUG
rnacentral:rRNA from 1 species